rnacentral:ncRNA from 1 species
UUUAUACAUAAGGAUUCCAUUAAUUUAGUUUAGUGAUGCUUAUUAAAUUAUACGAAAGUGCCUUAUUUUUUAAAUAUUUUAAAGUAAAAUUACAUAUAAAUACGUAGUAUUUAUGGCGAGACUCCCGAGGGAACAGUGCUAGUUGAAGACCUUAGAAAUACUCACAGAUUUAUCUGUGCUGUAUUUCUGGCUGAAACUGUACCCUGGGAAAGAGAGCCAUACAAUACGAAGUAUUGGGUAUAAAGAAAGCACUAA